UACGUAGGUGGCGAGCGUUGUCCGGAUUUAUUGGGCGUAAAGCGCGCGCAGGUGGUGCGGUAAGUCCUGUGUGAAAUCUCCCGGCUCAACUGGGAGGGUGCGGAGGAGACUGCCGGACUGGAGGCACUCAGAGGCCGGUGGAAUUCCCGGUGUAGUGGUGAAAUGCGUAGAGAUCUGGAGGAACACCAGUGGCGAAGGCGGCCGGCUGGGGGUGACCUGACGCUGAGGCGCGAGAGCGUGGGGAGCGAACCGG
rnacentral:rRNA from 1 species